rnacentral:rRNA from 1 species
AACGAACGCUGGCGGCGCGCCUAAUACAUGCAAGUCGAGCGAGAAGACGUAGCAAUACGUUUGUAAAGCGGCGAACGGGUGAGGAAUACAUGGGUAACCUACCCUCGAGUGGGGAAGUAACUAGCCGAAGGUUAGCUAAUACCGCGUACGCUCCUUGGACUUCGGCUCAGGGAGGAAAGCGAUACCGUGGGUAUCGCGCUCUUGGAUGGGCUCAUGUCCUAUCAGCUUGUUGGGAGGUAACGGCUCACCAAGGCUUCGACGGGUAGCUGGUCUGAGAGGACGAUCAGCCACACUGGCACUGCGACACGGGCCAGACUCCUACGGGAGGCAGCAGUAAGGAAUAUUGCGCAAUGGGCGAAAGCCUGACGCAGCGACGCCGCGUGGGGGAGUGAA